rnacentral:misc_RNA from 1 species
GAUGAAGAACGUAGCGAAAUGCGAUACGUAAUGUGAAUUGCAGAAUUCAGUGAAUCAUCGAAUCUUUGAACGCAUAUUGCGCUCUCUGGUAUUCCGGAGAGCAUGCUUGUUUGAGUAUCAGUAAACACCUCAACUUCCAUAUCUUUUUUGAAAUGGGAGUUGGACUUGAGUGAUCCCAACGCUUUUCCUCACCGAAAAGUGGCGGGUUACUUGAAAUGCAGGUGCAGCUGGACAUUUCUCUGAGCUAUAAGCAUAUCUAUUUAGUCUGCCUAAAAAACAGAUUAUUACCUUUGCUGCAGCUAACAUAAAGGAGAUUAGUUCUUGUGCUGACUGAUGCAGGAUUCACAAAGACGGCUUCGGCCGACUUUGUAAACUCGAUCUCAAAUCAAGUAAGACUACCCGCUGAACUUAAGCAUAUCAAUAAGCGGAGGA